UACGGCGGGGGCUACCGUUAUUCGGAAUUACUGGGCGUAAAGCGCGCGUAGGCGGACUUUUAAGUCAGGGGUGAAAUCCCGGGGCUCAACCCCGGAACUGCCUUUGAUACUGGGAGUCUGGAGUUCGGGAGAGGUGAGCGGAAUACCGAGUGUAGAGGUGAAAUUCGCAGAUAUUCGGUGGAACACCAGUGGCGAAGGCGGCUCACUGGACCGGCACUGACGCUGAGGCGCGAAAGCGUGGGGAGCAAACAGG
rnacentral:rRNA from 1 species